rnacentral:lncRNA from 1 species
GCAACACGGCAUUCCUACCACUUGUGCCACCGGGGCACACAUAAGUAAUAAGUAAGUAAUAAGUAAUAAGUAAUUAAAUGCACAUUCCUUUAAGGACUUAAACCUUGAAGAAUAGCUGAUCUUGUGGGUACCAGCUUCCUACUGGCUUUGAAAACCUGUGAAAAUGGAGGCUAAUACUGGAAAACCUGACAGACCAGCCAUGCUGUUUUGUCAGAGGAGAUUUUCUGCUGCCACUUUUAAACUGCACUGCAAUUCUACACCUUGCCUCAAGAUGACUGACCUGAAAAGCAAUGAAGACAACCUAAGGGUUUCUUCUGAUUUAUGUGAACCUAAAUUUCUCUGCUGUUGUGAUGAGGAUAACCGUUAUUCAAAGAGUGGUAUUCACAGGAAAGACUCCUUAGCAAAGACUUCCAUCUGAACACCAUUUUCUCCCAAGGAAGCUGACAAGAACUUAGAGAACAUGACAUACCUGAAAGGAUCAGAUCUGGAAAGAAAAUGCUGUGCGUGUGGAAAAGAGAAAACAUAGUGGUAUAAGGACUCAGUCUUUAAAAGUCUUGUUUACAUCACAAUUACUGUUCCUUAGUACUAAUAAUAAUAACGACUGCACUCAGAAGUGUUUGCUGGGUUAGCUUAUAUUAAUCUCUUUUUUUCUCUGCAAGAAGGGAUUACAAAAUCUACAAUGGAUUACUUUUACAUGCAUUGCUGAAAAAAUAUGAAAUAUUGCUACUUAAUAAUUUGUGAAGCUAUCUUAUUUGCAUCAUGUGUUAUAUUCUUUUUGCUUUGUGGUGAACACAGCAAGCUGAAGAGGGGAGGAAACAAAAAUUUUACCUCACUUUCAGCAUUAAACAUGCAGUAAUUUUUGUGUGGCUCAAUUUUCAGUUGUAUCAAGCAAGUCACAAUUAUUUCUACUGAUCAUCAAAUAUUUAAUGGGGUAUUCAUUAAUAAAGCUUAUCUACUUUAAUACA